CUGGAAGCGGGAUUCCCUCACCGGCAGCGGGCGAACCGAGAGAGGUUCCGGCUCCUCGGGCCUGGACGGCCGCAGGCCAACGGCGAGUAGAGAUAACACAGGAUGGAUACUGGGACUUGAAGUUGGAGACAAUGAUGCUGAGGAACCAGGAGCUGGGGAACAUCGCCCACAAUGUGACUGAGGCUGGCCCUGCCUUCACCAGUGUCAUCGGGCUUACUGCUUCUGGUCUGGCCACUGCUAUUAUGCAGUAAAGGCAGGAACCUGAUCUUCAGUAUGCAAGAUGGAGGGUACUCUGUACAGGACCCUGCCCUUCCUGUGUGCAGGACAGGAAAGGUGUCCACAGAGAAUGGCACCGCGCUGCUCAGCCAGAGCCUCUUUCUGGGCCUGUGGGACCGUCAUCCCUCUAGGACUCCUUUUGAGAAGCAGAGUCAGGUGAGAGUGUCUCCUGGGCUCCCUGCCACUUCUAGGUUGGCUGCAGCCCAGGCAUGGGCCCUGGUUGAUCUCCCCACCCCAAACACAGAGUGAUGCAACUAGCAGACAUUUGCCUCCUUUGCACGUUUCAUUAUGUGCACUCACUGGUGUGCUUCAUCUGAAUGGAAGGAAGUGCCGAACUGAGCCUGUUGGAACCUGCGGCAACGAAACAGAACGAAAUAAAGACAC